rnacentral:rRNA from 1 species
GACGAACGCUGGCGGCGUGCUUAACACAUGCAAGUCGAACGGAAAGGCCCUGCUUUUGUGGGGUGCUCGAGUGGCGAACGGGUGAGUAACACGUGAGUAACCUGCCCUUGACUUUGGGAUAACUUCAGGAAACUGGGGCUAAUACCGGAUAGGAGCUCCUGCUGCAUGGUGGGGGUUGGAAAGUUUCGGCGGUUGGGGAUGGACUCGCGGCUUAUCAGCUUGUUGGGGGGGUAGUGGCUUACCAAGGGUUUGACGGGUAGCCGGCCUGAGAGGGUGACCGGCCACCUUGGGACUGCGGUACGGACCAGAGUCCUACGGGAGGCAGCAGUGGAGAAUAUUGCCCAAUGGGCGGACGCCUGAUGCAGCAACGCCGCGUGCGGGAUGACGGCCUUCGGGUUGUAAACCGCUUUCGCCUGUGACGAAGCGUGAGUGACGGUAAUGGGUAAAGAAGCACCGGCUAACUACGUG